rnacentral:rRNA from 1 species
ACGCUCGACACCUACGGGAGACAGCAGUGGGGAAUAUUGCACAAUGGGGGAAACCCUGAUGCAGCGACGCCGCGUGGAGGAAGAAGGUCUUCGGAUUGUAAACUCCUGUUGUUGGGGAAAAGAGGAUGGUACCCAACAAGGAAGUGACGGCUAACUACGUGCCAGCAGCCGCGGUAAUCUGAGCGGGCUGGCAAGGC